GGGAAACUGGGUAUAAUACCCGAUAGAUCUCGGCUGCUGGAAUGCAUCGAGCUCUAAAGCUCCGGCGCCUGAGGAUGGGUCUGCGGCCUAUCAGGUAGUAGUGGGUGUAGCGUACCUACUAGCCUACGACGGGUACGGGUUGUGAGAGCAAGAGCCCGGAGAUGGAUUCUGAGACACGAAUCCAGGCCCUACGGGGUGCAGCAGGCGCGAAAACUUUACAAUGCCGGCAACGGCGAUAAGGGGACCUCGAGUGCCAGGUUACAAAUCUGGCUGUCGUGAUGCCUAAAAAGCAUUGCAUAGCAAGGGCCGGGCAAGACCGGUGCCAGCCGCCGCGGUAACACCGGCGGCUCGAGUGGUAACCGUUAUUAUUGGGUCUAAAGGGUCUGUAGCCGGCCGGAUAAGUCUCUUGGGAAAUCCAGCAGCUUAACUGUUGGGCUUUCAGGAGAUACUGUCUGGCUCGAGGCCGGGAGAGGUGAGAGGUACUUCAGGGGUAGGGGUGAAAUCUUGUAAUCCUUGAAGGACCACCAGUGGCGAAGGCGUCUCACCAGAACGGACCUGACGGCAAGGGACGAAAGCUAGGGGCACGAACCGGAUUAGAUACCCGGGUAGUCCUAGCCGUAAACGAUACUCGCUAGGUGUCGGCCACGGUGCGACCGUUGUCGGUGCCGUAGGGAAGCCGUGAAGCGAGCCACCUGGGAAGUACGGCCGCAAGGCUGAAACUUAA
rnacentral:rRNA from 1 species